GUCGUGUGCCCCUCUCUGUUGACCCCAUUGUAGGUUUUCUUAGCAAAGGUAGGGGAGUGGUUUGCCAUCUCCGUCUCUAGCUCAUUUUAUAGGAAACUGAAGGAAAUGAGGUUAAGUGACUUGCCCAGGGUCAUCCCGCUAGCCCAGUCCAAAGUCCUUGCCUUCCUCCUCCUCCCCCUGCCCCACUGAUUCUGGCUACCCUGCAGUGGCAGAUGGGUGGCUGUACCAGGAACUUUAGAUAUCUGUAAAGCUGAAGGCUGAGAAAAGCAGAGAUGGCAGGAGAAUCACUACCUGCUUGGAGAAGAAGAUAGAUGAAGCAGGGAGCUACUGGGCAGCAAUGGACAAAUGUUGGAACAGUCACCAGUGACUCCUGCUAAGAGUAGGUGUUGGUGC
rnacentral:lncRNA from 1 species